UUAUAAAAAUCCUUCCUAGCAUUACAUGAAUUGCAUUGACUGGCACUGAUUAAUUUGUUGUACAUUGAACUACUGGACAAUUGUGUGUAACUGGAAGUCGCUUUGGAAUGUAACGUAAAAUGAUCUGCUAUUUUUCAAUGAAAGAAACUGCUGUUCUUAAUGUGUCCACUAGAAAUCGCAAUAGCAAUUAUGUUAAGCAAGCAAACUUUAUACCGGGGCUGAGCAGGGAGCAAGUAUAAACAGGUAGUGCAGCUAGCCCGGAGCUACCUUGUCGUUCUGCCUUAUGCUACGGCCACACCAACCGCGUUGCUCGCAGUGGAUACCGCGAGUACCGCGCCUAACCUGACGCUUGAUCGGUGUGUGGUGGUUCAAUGCUUCCACCGCGUCACCGCGCCACCGCAGCUAGAUGAGUCCAUGUCCAUAAUAAAGAAAGAUGUCGGCCGUGGCUGCGCUGGAGUCCGAGGUAGGAAACCCAAACGCCGCGUUUGGGUGCAUAAUAGAGCUUAGAUCGGGUUAGAUUAAAUAAUCUCGGAUAUAAAUAACACUAAUCGGGUUAAAUAACUUCACAUGGUGUGUCUGGUGUGUUUCCAGCAUUCGUAGUGUUGAUCAGCAGAGAAAUAGUCCGCCAGGCUGCGUUUACGUGCGUAAUUACGUGCAACUUCCGCGCCUAAAGCCCCCAACGCAACGCUUCACCGCGUGUACCGCACCUAGACCAAUGGUUCCCUAUGCAAAAAUGCAGAUUUUCAACGCCCCUACCGCGAGCAACGCGGUUGGUGUGGCCGUACCUUUAUACUUCCAACAUUAUGCGCUUUGGCACUCUUAUUGCCCCAAAAUGUCUCUGUCAAAAAGACGAAAAGUGGACACAGUGCAGAGUUUUACAAGAAAAAUGGUCAUCGUCCUUUUUAUUUACGGAAGUAAAUGGGAAACCUGUGUUUGGUGUGCUCACAGCAUGUUUAAUUUUACAAAAUUAUGCCAUAUUUUUACCGGUCCGGCCCACUUGGGAAUAGAUUUUCCUCCAUGUGGCCCCUAGGCUAAAAUGAGUUUGACACCCCUGGUUUAAAGGCCCACUAUCAUUUACCCAUGUCGCCUCUCCAGUGAAAAAGCGCAUAUGCAACUUGCUCUGUUCGGACUGACACAAUCCGGAAUGGAUGUGACGCAGCGGAAGUAUCCUCGAAAAUGUAGUCAGAUUGUAGUUUCGAAAAUGCUUUACGGCACAGACACACACCCAAACAUGGCACCGGCUAGAUAUAAACAGCCAGUUGCGAGGCAAUUGUUGCAUUCAUCAUGGAUCAAUCGACUGAUAAGGGACCCAAGAGGCGACCGUCGGUGGAACAAAAGAAGAAUGGACCAGAAAAGAGAUCAGACACGAGUGAAAGGGGAACUAUGCAACUCUUUUGGCUUGAUUUACCUUAAUAUAACAGGCUAAGAGUCAUUGCGAUGGUUCUAUUAUACAUUUUUUUUAGAUUGUUCGUUGUUUCGACUCACCCUUGCGCAUCUUGGCGGAGAAAAGGAAUAUGUUUCUGCCGGCGACCCGCCGCCCACUCUCGCGGGAGUCUCGGGUCUCGCGAAGUAACGAAUUGCUUUACGGCACAGACCCCCAAACACGGAACCGGCUCGAUAUAAACACAAGUCACUAAGGGAUUGUUAUAUUCAUCAUAGAUCAGCCGACUAAAAAGAGACAGAGAAACCCAAUGUCGGAGGAACAGAAGAAGAGAAAAGGGAGACUGACCGGCAGAGAGGCCAGACACGAGUAAACGUUGGGCAAGCUUUUCAGGAAUAGCGUGAACUGAAAGAAAAAGAAGACUGCAAAUCAGACGCCGACUCGGCCGUGUUGCUUUUGAAAUUGAAAGUACCCUUGGGUGGCCUUUGUCUUCGUGGUAUUCUUGAUGUUGAUAGUCUCUGUACAAAUGUGUUUGCUCAACCAUUUUGUUGUGAGCCCUGUAAAAAUUGUUUUCUCGACCGUUUUGUUGUGAGCCCUGUAUGUUUCUAGCUUGCUUGGUUGCAACCAUAUAAACACCUUUGUUUCCAUGGGUGUUUUGCUGUUCGUCUGUCUCGUCCCCCAGAUACAGGCUGAAUCCCCUAAUCCAGGUUCUUGUUUAUUUAGAUUAUUAUGUUGGCCAAACCUCUUACACUGAUUGUUCUGUUCAACCUAAAAUAAAACAAUUAUAAUCUAGGAUAUAAAUUCUCCCUGUCAACUAUAAAAAAGGAUGGAUUUAUGUUUAUUGCAAUACAAAUACACCCUUUUAAAAAUGUAUAACCUUGCCUACACUUUAUGAACAUCUACUUCGGACAUGGCUCCACGCAUUCGCCGGCUUCUUUGAAAACAAAUGCACAUGGCUCGCGUAGAAGUGCAUGGGGAAGGGUCGUCAACGAGUUGUUACGACAGUGUUGUGAAAUAUCUACUACGAAGCUGUAGGGGGUGCUGUGUAGAGAAAUGUGCGUGCCAAAACCAAGAAAACAGCGAAGAAAUGCCCGAAGUUGCAUAGUGGGCCUUUAAAGGCAUACGUGCAGGUUAACCGGAAGUUUUGAUUAAUGGGUACAUAAAGCACUCAAAAUAUGUGAUUCAUUUAUAAAAUGUCUCCAAAAUAGUGUUACGGUCCAGUGUUUGGCGUUUUUGGCAGUAACGGUGUUUUCUAACGCCAUUCGGCGAUGACGUCACGUUGGGGAGACGUGGAAGGUAGCCUCAGCGUAGUACUAGAACUAUGGCGUCUAAGAGGUGGCAAGAACCACAAAUAACAUGUAUGAUGGUGAUGGCCCACAGCAGGAUAAUUUCAAACCUGUCAGACAUGAGAGGGCGAAUGAGGAAUUGCCGAGAACUGAUCAAAGCCAAAUAAAUGCAUGGUCAGAGGAGAAUGAGUGGAGAGUUGCUAUCAUUUAGCAACGCAGCAACGAGCGCUGGAGCUAGUCAAUCAACAGCAGUGCAAACAAUAACAACACUUUUAUUUAUUCUUACUGUCAGUGAAUAGCACCGAGUGAAAGUCAACGUUUUCUUUAUAUGUAGUGACAGCGAUUAUGUCUUAACCGGUAAACUUUCAGAAAUAGAUAGAUUCAGAAAUAGAAGGCAUAAUGCUAGCUAUGGGCUAACUUAGCCUAUCGGACACGCAAUCAGUGCACUUGCAAAUGAGUGCCUGCAAGUAUAACCGAUCGUGGUGUGACAUUAUUUAACCAUCAAUCUACCGCAAAUAUGACCAGACAGAUGUACAUUGAACACAUACACAAAGCACAUCGCCCAACCCGGCGGAUGAUGACAGACAGCUCACAACAAGCCAAACAUCACCACGGCGGGUGUGCUCUCUCUCUCACUCUCGCACGCCCGUAAACAAUCACUCCAACUUAUCCAACUCCAUGGCUAGGCUGCUUCACUUAGAUCACAACUAACCACAGGGCUUUCAUAACCAUGCAGUAUGCCGAAGCCGGAAAGGACACAGUCGCACACACUCAUCUUAUGCAAAACAAUCCGUUUUAUCAUCAACAUUCAGUCACUGCAAAGAUUUAAAGACUAGCUUCUUACCAUAAGUUAGAAUGGACCCAAAGUAUGUGAUUGAUACAGUCUGGUCUAGCUUUCGCUUGCUUUCCGUUUUUAGUAUGACUUCUCAACAUUACGCCUUUCUUGUGUUAGGCGCUCAUGGCUAAUUUGCAUACGCACACAGGAUUGGCUGGCUCUGCAAGGCAAAUAAUAUAACAUAUUUAAUUAUCUUUCUAUCUGUCUAUAUCAACGCAUGUGUCUAGUUUUAAUGUGAUGUAUUUUGUGUAUGUUGUGUCAGACUUGUUGUCUCCCUUGUUCUUUGUUGUCUUGUAGGCUAUACUGUGUGAGCCGAAUCACCUAAAUGACUAGGCUAUCUAUCUAUCUAGUAGGGCCCGACCGAUUUAUCGGCCUGCCGAUUUAAUCGGCCGAUUAUAGCCUUUUUGAAAAUAAUCGGCAUCGGCCAAAAAGACGCAGAUUACAACCGAUUUUAUUUAUUUAUUUAUUUAUUUUAUUUAUUUUUUAUAAAUGUUAUUGCGCUUAGUAUCCUGCAGAUUGCGCUCCUACUCGCCUUGCUAACUAACAACUUUAGCUGGAGUAAAAAAGAGGAGAUUGAAUUUUACCGUACAACAUGAAAGCACGCUCGCUCAGGCAGCUGUGCGCUCACCUCACCAAUGUACACAAGACGCGUUGUUUGAGCAUGUUGUGCCUGUUUUUCUUUAGGUCCCAGGCCAUGUUAAUUUGUUAUA